AAGCAUUUCAAUGUCCAUUUGUUUUUUGAAAGUUUAAGAAAUCCUGGGGUGCAGUGGCUGCAAAUAGCAGCCUCGUAGGUAGUGUAUGCAGCCUGUUGCCUGUAUGGGUUGUCCUAAGGGACCUUGGCAACAGCC
ensembl:snoRNA SNORA70 Small nucleolar RNA SNORA70